UACAGAGGGUGCGAGCGUUGUUCGGAAUUACUGGGCGUAAAGCGCGCGCAGGCGGCCCUUUAAGUCUACCCGUGAAAUGCCGGAGCUCAACUCCGUGCACGCCGGGGGAUACUGGGGGGCUGGAGACAUGUAGAGGCAAGCGGAAUUCCGGGUGUAGCGGUGGAAUGCGUAGAUAUCCGGAAGAACACCUGAGGCGAAGGCGGCUUGCUGGGCAUGAUCUGACGCUGAGGCGCGAAAGCGUGGGGAGCAAACAGG
rnacentral:rRNA from 1 species